rnacentral:rRNA from 1 species
AUAAACUUCCGCCCCUCUCUCCCACGCUACCUCUCUUCCGCCGCCGCCGCCGCCACCUCCCAUCCAAGAUCCUCCGGCUCUGUCGUGCAUGCCACCGGAGGAAGGGCCCCUUCCGAGACCCGCUUCUCCACCGAGUCAAUUCGUGUGGGAGCCAUUGUAGUCCUCUCCCCUCGGUGCGCGGCGCCGGAGAGAGCGACAAGGAGGUCCAGCAGUCCAUGCUGCCAUCGUCCUACCUCGUCGUGUGGCGUCGAAGAGAAGGACGAGGAGGUUGAGCAGUCCGUGCUGUCUUCGCCAUCGCCUGAUCUGGUUAAAGUUGGAGAUGCCGCCACCGUCGGCGCCUCUAGCGCAUCCACAAACUGGCGCAACCUCCCUCAGCUCCCCGCCCUCGCCCACAAGGACAAACACUAG